UACGGAGGGUGCAAGCGUUAAUCGGAAUUACUGGGCGUAAAGCGUGCGUAGGCGGUUCGUUAAGUCUGUUGUGAAAGCCCCGGGCUCAACCUGGGAAUGGCAAUGGAUACUGGCGAGCUAGAGUGUGUCAGAGGAUGGUGGAAUUCCCGGUGUAGCGGUGAAAUGCGUAGAGAUCGGGAGGAACACCUGUGGCGAAAGCGGCUCACUGGACAGCAACUGACGCUGAUGCGCGAAAGCUAGGGGAGCAAACAGG
rnacentral:rRNA from 1 species